rnacentral:rRNA from 1 species
UGGGGAAUAUUGGACAAUGGACCAAAAGUCUGAUCCAGCAAUUCUGUGUGCUUGAUGAAGGCCUUCGGGUUGUAAAGCCCUGUCAGGUGGGAAGAACCCUUUACAGGUGAAUAGUCUGUAAAGCUGACGGUACCACCAAAGGAAGCACCGGCUAACUCCGUGCCAGCAGCCGCGGUAAGACGGAGGGUGCAAGCGUUGUUCGGAAUCACUGGGCGUAAAGCGCGUGUAGGCGGUUCGAUAAGUCGAGUGUGAAAGCCCGAGGCUUAACUUCGGAAGUGCAUUCGAAACUGGGAGGCUUGAGUAUGGGAGAGGGAAACGGAAUUCCUGGUGUAGCGGUGAAAUGCGUAGAUAUCAGGAGGAACACCUGUGGCGAAAGCGGUUUCCCGGACCAAUACUGACGCUGAGGCGCGAAGGCGCGGGGAUCAAACA